rnacentral:misc_RNA from 1 species
UUUCCGUAGGUGAACCUGCGGAAGGAUCAUUACAGAGUUCAUGCCCUAACGGGUAGAUCUCCCACCCUUGAAUAUUUAUACCUUAGUUGCUUUGGCAGGCCGUGGAAACACCAUGGGCUCCGGCUUAUGCGUGCCUGCCAGAGGAAACAAACUCUGUUUUUAGUGGUGUCUGAGUACUAUAUAAUAGUUAAAACUUUCAACAACGGAUCUCUUGGUUCUG